UACAGAGACUGCGAGCGUUAUUCGGAUUCACUGGGCGUAAAGGGUGCGCAGGCGGCCGAGUGUGUGAGGCGUGAAAGCCCGGGGCUUAACCCCGGAAUUGCACCUCAAACUACACGGCUAGAGCAUUGGAGAGGGUAGCAGAAUUCAUGGUGUAGCAGUGAAAUGCGUAGAUAUCAUGAGGAAUACCGGUGGCGAAGGCGGCAUCCUGGACCAACACUGACGCUGAUGAGCGAAAGCCAGGGGAGCAAACGGG
rnacentral:rRNA from 1 species